GACGAACGCUGGCGGCGUGCCUAACACAUGCAAGUCGAACGAAGCUUUGAGGAGCUUGCUUUUUAAAGCUUAGUGGCGGACGGGUGAGUAACGCGUGAGCAACCUGCCUCUCAGAGGGGGAUAACGUUUUGAAAAGAACGCUAAUACCGCAUAACAUAUCGGAACCGCAUGAUUCUGAUAUCAAAGGAGCAAUCCGCUGAGAGAUGGGCUCGCGUCCGAUUAGUUAGUUGGUGAGGUAACGGCUCACCAAGACUACGAUCGGUAGCCGGACUGAGAGGUUGAUCGGCCACAUUGGGACUGAGACACGGCCCAGACUCCUACGGGAGGCAGCAGUGGGGGAUAUUGCGCAAUGGGGGAAACCCUGACGCAGCAACGCCGCGUGAAGGAAGAAGGUCUUCGGAUUGUAAACUUCUUUUGUCAGGGACGAAGAAAGUGACGGUACCUGACGAAUAAGCUCCGGCUAACUA
rnacentral:rRNA from 1 species